UACGUAGGGUCCGAGCGUUGUCCGGAAUUACUGGGCGUAAAGAGCUCGUAGGUGGUUUGUCGCGUUGUUCGUGAAAACUCACAGCUCAACUGUGGGCGUGCGGGCGAUACGGGCAGACUGGAGUACUGCAGGGGAGACUGGAAUUCCUGGUGUAGCGGUGGAAUGCGCAGAUAUCAGGAGGAACACCGGUGGCGAAGGCGGUUCUCUGGGCCUGUACUGACGCUGAGGAACGAAAGCGUGGGGAGCGAACAGG
rnacentral:rRNA from 1 species